CACAGAAGAUUUAGUAUGUUCACAUAAACAGAAGUCUUCUAUAUUAACUUUCUACAAUGUACAUAUCAUACAUCCUACAUUCAUAGACACACAUAUACAACAACAACAAAAAAGCAGAAUCAAACCCCAAAUAAAAAAGAAAAUAAGCAACAACUUGGAGAAACAUUAGACUAAGCGUCAGACCAUGUGAUAUCCAAGUGACCCCAGUCGUCCUCAGAUACACCUAAGGCUUUCCAGACAGCCUUGGAGGCAUCAACAUGUUAUCAAAAUGAAAAUUAACUAAGAAUCAAUCAGCGAGUGAGUGUGGAAGAGGAGGGAUUUACUUGGAUAUUCGUGUUAUGCCAUUUGCAGAGAAGGGCUUGCCAUCAUUGUUGAGGUCCAAAGAACAAGUCUCCUAGAUUUGGGUUCUACGGACCAAGAGAAAAAGAGAGGAGACGAAGAAAAAAAGAGACAUGCCCAGCUGGGAGGAGAAAGAGAUGAGUUUAGUAUUCACAUUUUUAUGAAUUAGCAUAUGUAUUUAUUAAUACAAGCUAAUUUUGUUUUAUGUCUGUAUACCACUUGCUUGCUGCGUCAAUUCAGAUAAUGAGAGGAAAAAAAAAAAAAAGUUAAAAGGUCAUAGUCUUGGUUUUUGUGUCCAUCAUCAUUUUAGGUUCUCUGCUUUUUGAAGGCCAUCAACUCCUCUUUGGUUGUGCUUCUCUAUUCCUUAACAAGGGAGUGGUUUCUGGGACUAGUUAUGGUGGAUGUAUCAGAACUUAAAAAAAAAAAAAAAAAAAAAAAAAAAAACCUUUUAUCAAGCCAUAGUCAUGAUUCAAGUUUUCCAUGAUUGUGGACGUCUGAAACACCAUUCAUAUUGCAACUCUUUCUUGAUUGCGGCUUUAUUAGAAUCUUUCUGUGGUUUGCAAUAUAUCUUGAAUUUGAACCACCACCCAAAGAUAGAAAAAGGUCCUAUGCUGGAUACUAGUUCUGUAUCCUUAUGUUCAGAUUGAGAAGAAAUCCAGGCACCAAGUAAAGUUCAAAAGGGUAGUUGAAAAAUCUGUUUUUUAGGUUAUACUUGUCCUUUCCAUCAUUGUGUCCUAUACAGAAUUAACACUUUCUCGCUAUUGCAUGUGUAGACUGGAAUUCAGCUAUUAAAAUAGAAGUUCCUAUGCUUGCUCUGUAGUUGUUAGAAGAACCAUUCUGUUAAUCAUGGUUGCAUAAAAGAUUCAGGUAUUAGGAGGGAUCUAAUUUAUGAAAUCCUUUUCCGAUAAGAGGCUGAUGGAAAAUUGGACAAAGAGUUCAGUGGUGAUGAGACUGCAAGAAUGAUUUGGGCAGCAGCAGAUAGAGUUACUGAAAUUGAAUGUGGAGGCAGUCAUGGAUUCAUAGCAAAGAGUGGGAAUUAGGAUGCAAGAACAAUUGUCAAGGACUGGACUCAUUUUCUCCUUCUGUAAAGGUCACGAGAAAGAUAACUUAGUAAGCUAGGAGUUGGUGGGUAGAUGGAAGGAGAAUGGAGGUGGGAGCAAUUUGAUCGGGCAAUAAAGAACUUCAUAGGAGAUAUCAUUGGGAGCCAUAUUCCUUGUGGCAGGGUACGGCUGAGAAUGGAUGGCUAAGCCACUGUAUAAGACAAUCUCACAUCCUCUUUAGAGUGCUGCAAAUUUGUAUUGUGGAAUGAGGAGAAGAUGAGAUUUGGGGAAGCGGUUGUACAAGUCGUUUAUGCAGCUGCUGUUUCCCAGAUAUUUGGGCUCCUGUUUCACUUGUGCCUUUACAAGGCAGAAUGGUUUGGGUGUUAUCUGUAAAAUUUUAAUAUUUGACAGAUAUCAUUUUGGUCAGAAUCUCAUUAUAUGACCUUUAAUGUUCUUAAAUUGAAAUUGAUUGUUACUGAA